rnacentral:rRNA from 1 species
UGGGGAAUAUUGGACAAUGGGCGAAAGCCUGAUCCAGCCAUGCCGCGUGUGUGAAGAAGGUCUUCGGAUUGUAAAGCACUUUAAGUUGGGAGGAAGGGCAGUAAGCGAAUACCUUGCUGUUUUGACGUUACCGACAGAAUAAGCACCGGCUAACUCUGUGCCAGCAGCCGCGGUAAUACAGAGGGUGCAAGCGUUAAUCGGAAUUACUGGGCGUAAAGCGCGCGUAGGUGGUUCGUUAAGUUGAAUGUGAAAGCCCCGGGCUCAACCUGGGAACUGCAUCCAAAACUGGCGAGCUAGAGUAGGGCAGAGGGUGGUGGAAUUUCCUGUGUAGCGGUGAAAUGCGUAGAUAUAGGAAGGAACACCAGUGGCGAAGGCGACCACCUGGGCUCAUACUGACUCUGAGGUGCGAAAGCGUGGGGAGCAAACAGG